AAUCAACGCUGGCGGCGUGCCUAACACAUGCAAGUCGAACGCGAAAGCCCCGCAAGGGGUAAGUAGAGUGGCAAACGGGUGAGUAACACGUGGGUGACCUGCCUUCGAGUGGGGGAUAACGUCCCGAAAGGGACGCUAAUACCGCAUGACAUCCUGCUUUUGAAAAAGCGGAGAUCAAGGCUGGGGAUCGCAAGACCUAGCGCUUGAAGAGGGGCCCGCGCCUGAUUAGCUAGUUGGUGAGGUAACGGCUCACCAAGGCGACGAUCAGUAUCCGGCCUGAGAGGGCGGACGGACACACUGGGACUGAGACACGGCCCAGACUCCUACGGGACGCAGCAGUGGGGAAUUGUUCGCAAUGGGCGCAAGCCUGACGACGCAACGCCGCGUGGAGGACGAAGAUCUUCGGGUCGUAAACUCCUGUCGAGCGGGACGAACGCUUCGCGGAUGAAUAAUCCGCGGAAUUUACGGUACCGCUAAAGGAAGCCCCGGCUAACUCCGUGCCAGCAGCCGCGGUAAUACGGGGGGGGCAAGCGUUGUUCGGAAUUACUGGGCGUAAAGGGCUCGUAGGCGGCCAACUAAGUCAGACGUGAAAUCCCUAGGCUCAACCUAGGAACUGCGUCUGAUACUGGAUGGCUUGAAUCCGGGAGAGGGAUGCAGAAUUCCAGGUGUAGCGGUGAAAUGCGUAGAUAUCUGGAGGAAUACCGGUGGCGAAGGCGGCAUCCUGGACCGGCAUUGACGCUGAGGAGCGAAAGCUAGGGGAGCAAACGGGAUUAGAUACCCCGGUAGUCCUAGCCCUAAACGAUGAGUGCUAAGUGUUAGAGGGUUUCCGCCCUUUAGUGCUGCAGUAAACGCAUUAAGCACUC
rnacentral:rRNA from 1 species